GUAGAUUCCCAAUUUAGGAAUGGGGUCCCCCAAUCACAAUAUUCCCAAUGGUGUCUCACUAGGUAACUAUAAUAGUAAACCAGGUAAAUUAAAGAUUGAUUUUGAUAAUUUACUUGUUGAAGUCCUCCAGAAAGACUGGAGGAAGAAGGUCAAACGACAAAAGAAGAAAGACAAGCGUCGAGAGAAACAGAAGAGGAGAUCAACCGACGGACCAGCAGAAAAUAGUUUCUAAGAUAAGAAGAAUAAUUCAACUGAUGCGAAAACAAUAAGGCAUGCAUAAGAAGAUAAUAAAAAUGAUGAGAGAAAUAAUUAACUGUAUUGAGUUAGUUAAUGUUGAUUUGGAGUUACAGUCUUUGGCAAAUAAUAUCGAGGCCUUGAGAUUGCAAACCUCUGUUGCAAGACCAGAAAACCCUUAAAAGGUAACAAUGAGAUAUAUGAAUUGUUAGACAUCAACUUUAAAAGGCAGUAAUAAGAAAUGUAUGAUGUUAACAUUUGCUCAACAGUUGAAACUGUCACGUACGCCAGUUGAGACUGUCACGUAUGCUUGCUUUUUGCUAAGAUAAUAAUGAGUGUGCAAGGAAAUGCAUCUUGCAAUCUGGAUUGCAGGAUGGACUUUCUUUCUAAAAAAUUGUAUUGUAAUGUGUUUAAUCUGAUUAACACAGGGAGGAGGAUGCUGUGCAUUUUAGCAAUAGUUACUUACUUAGCCUACGCCUUAAGAUUUUGUAACAGCUUAAAGAAAGAUUAAUUUGCUUUAAUGGAAAGAAAAUAAAGCAGCAAUUACUUAAUGCAUGUGUGCAGAAGAGGGGUUGCCAAAUAAGGAAAUGUUAACUUCCUGUAUCCAUAGCAAUCUGACUGUUAGUGUGUGCGUGCAAGCGGAUGUGUUAAUGUGUUUUACCAAAAGGAGGCAUCCGGAAGAAAUGAUGUAUUGUUUUUGGGACUAUAUAAUGUUAUGGUUUGGACACAUCCCCUGCCGCAUCACGCUUUUACUUUUUUACUUUUUGUUAUUAUUUUGCUUAUGAGUUAGUGUUUAAAAUAAAGCGAAGCCAUGUACAAUGGUGAUGCGUUAAAACUUUUAAACAAGUCUCUGAGUAAUUUAUUAUGAGUAAAGUUAUUAUUUUAGUUUGUUCCUGAUUCUGUAUUGCCAAGCUCUGCAGAGGCAAAGACUCAAAUGAGCUGAUCAGGUUCUGGUGGGAAGAAGUGCAGAAAUCUCCAUUGCCACAGAGAAGACAUCAAAGCUGCUCUUAAAGAUUGGAGAUCUCCACAUAAUCUUGGAUCCAUGGCCAAAAACACUUACAUCAUGGAACCGCUUUCUCUGGGAAUCUUGGAACAUCUCUGUUUACCAGCAUUACAAGAAGCUCUGUCAUUACAUCAGAGUCUAAACUCUCUCUAUAUUUCACAAAGCACAUAUCGAUUCAGAGAGGGUCAGCGCCUUGUUUCUACCAUGAGGAAGCAGGUGGAACUGAUGUUGUGAUGGAGGACAGUGCCCCGGCUGCUUCAAUGGUUACAACAGGUGGAAUGGUUUGUGACAAACAGUUGUCUGGCAGUAGAAGUUGUUGGGAUUUCCAGCCAAGUGAUUGGCAGUCAUCAUUGGUAAAAUUGUUUUUAUCACACUUUUAUUAACACAUUUUAUGUAUACUGAAUGUAAUUCUGGUCUCUUUAUCUUAAAGGGGGGGUGAAAUGCUAUUUCAUGCAUACUGAGUUUUUUACACUGUUAAAAAGUUGGAUUCCCAUGCUAAACAUGGACAAAGUUUCAAAGAUUAAGUUGUACGUUUGAAGGAGUAUUUUUGUUCCAAAAAUACCUCUUCCGGUUUGUCACAAGUUUCGGAAAGUUUUUUUCAAUUAUGGCUCUGUGUGACGUUAGAUGGAGCGGAAUUUCCUUAUAUGGGUCCUAAGGGCACGUCUGCCGGAAGAGCGCGCGCUCCCGUAUAGCAGAGCAGAGGAGGAGAGACAUUCACUGAUCAGAGCGAGAGACCGAAAUGUCACAAAAGAAGUGUGUUUUUGGUUGCCAGGGCAAGACAACCCUGCACAGAUUACCAAAAAAAAAACAGCAUUAAGGGACCAGUGGAUGGAGUUUAUUGUUACAGAGCAUCAACGGAGUUGUGCAAGUGUUUUUGUUUGUUCCCUGCAUUUUGAAGAUGCUUGUUUUACAAACAAGGCCCAGUUUGACGCCGGAUUUGCACAUCGUUUAUUUCUUAAGGAUAAUGCAGUCCCAAUGAAAAAGGGUCACGAUCAUGUAUUGGAACCGCAGGCGGUGAGUAAAACUGCUUAAAAUAUCUCUGUGUUGUUAACUUAGCUAUCGGCGCGUAAGCACAUCAAGUAAACAACAUGCGAUGUUGUCAUCAACAACUGCACUUUCCACAUGUACAGCUUAAAAAAAAAAAAAAAAAAAAAAAAACAAGACGACAUAAAGUGGAACUUAGUCAUUUUCCAAAACCGCUAAGCAAAUAUAUACAGUUUCAGAACAUACCACAUAGAGACGUCGUUGCUGAUGCUGCUCUUGUUAAAUUUCAGCCUCUGGAUCUGAUUCUGGAUCAUAAAUAUACGCUGAAUCUGACUGUUAGCCAUGGUUUGUUUUGGAUGUUUUUUUCCUCACGGUAAUGUCACAGCUUCCAAACGCUCUCAACACAAAAGCCUACUCGCGCUCGUGAUUCUUUAGCUCCACCCACACGUCACGCCUCCAGCGGCUCGUGUUUUUCCGGGAAAAAUCGGUACAGACUAUCUUUCUCUUAUGAAUAUAAUAAAACUAAAGUUUUAUUAGUACUACUCUAUAGGUACUCAAGAUUAACAGGAUAUUGAGUGAAAACAAGCAUUUCACCCCCCCUUUAAUCUGUGGUAAAGCUUAACCAGAUUUUGAGUAAAAGUGACAGAGAUGAGACAAUUGCUCAAGUUGGAAGCAUUAAACUGCAGCGAAAAGAUUUCUUGACCUUGGGCCUCAAUGCAGUGCUUGAGGCAACAAUUGCAAACAGCUGUCUUGAUGUGAUCGUCAUGGUGGCUAAGGAAAAGGGAACAGAUGUGUUUGCAGCAAAUUCCUAUGUUGUAGUUACCUGGCUACCACCACUUGAAUUGGACCCAUUUUUAUCGUUUCCAGAUAACAUAGGAUCCAAGGAUUACAUUCUGCUCCCUGCUUGGAUGCCAGGACACUGGAUGCUAUGUGUAUGUUGUUCCCUUCAUUUUUGGGUGAACUAACUCUUUAAGAUUAUAUGGUGAUAUUAGGAUUUAAUAUACUAACAACUGUAUUUCACAGGUUCUGAAGCCUAAAAACAAGGCUAUGUAUUUUUUUGAUUCAACUCACCCCUAUGGGAUUGGUGAUGUAAAAUAUGUGACUGUCUUCAGGUUGCAUUACAUACAUAAAUAUUAUGUUCAGAGUUCGCAGUUCAAGGUUUGCUGUUCAAAGUUCGUUGUUCCAAAGUUUGCUCUUCAUUGAUGUUCACUGCUGUUUGUUCUGUGCAUGAUGUUCAUUUGCAUGAUGAUCUGCAUGCUGUUUUUAUAUUCUAAAUUUGAAAUGUUGUUUUUGCUUUAGAGUAAAUAUACUUUGCUUUUUUUGUCCAAUUUUUCUGGUUAUAAUAUAUUAAAAUAUUUCUGUUUGAUUUUGUUGCAGUAAAUUAACAAACAGAAUCGCUCCAGGACCAUGGAAGCUGAUCAAGAACAAGAAUGUUCCACAACAGCUGACUGGCUCUGUGGACUGUGGGAUCUUCAUGCUGAUGUAUGCUCUGCACAUGGUCUUUGAGGCACCCUUUGAUUUUACAGCUUCGGAUUUUCCUCUUAUUCGAAAAUGGUGGUGCCUUAUUCUCAUGGAGAAUUUUGCCAUUGAAAGGAAACAUGCUGCCGUUGAUGUUCAGGAGCCACCUAAAGCACAAGAAGACCAAAGACCUCAGGACCGCAGUUGGAUGGCUGCGGGACAACUGCCACUCCUUCAGAGGUUCUGUGCAAGAGCCGUCAUAUCUGGACCUAGAGAAGGAAGACCAGGAAGAGGCCCUUCUUAAACUUGAUCGGGCGGAAAGAAAAGAUGAUCUGGAACUGGCCAAAGAGCUUUUCAUGUUUCAGUUCCAGUUUCAACAGGACAUGGAAGUUUUUCUUUUCGAAUGUCACGACGAAAGGCACCUCAGAAUAAACUCCAUGUUUAUGGAGUAUUCAUUUGUUAUUUAUUUUUCUCUUGAGAAUUAUUGAUGUAAAAUUUGUGCCUGUAUAACUUUUAUAAGAUUUAUUUUCUUUGGUUUGAUUUUGUUUUAUAUAAUUUAUUUAUCUAGUUUGAUUUUGUAAUUUUAUUUAAUUAGAAAACAGCUAGUGUGUGAUUUUAUUUAAAACUAAUUUUAUUUAAAUUAAUAUUUUUUUGUGUUUUCAGUCCAUCAUAUUUUUGUGUAUGGUGGUCUGUGUUGUUUGAGUAUUUAAAGUUAUUUUCAACUGAAUAAAAUGUUCAAACUCUCAA